rnacentral:misc_RNA from 1 species
GAUGAAGAACGUAGCGAAAUGCGAUAAGUAAUGUGAAUUGCAGAAUUCAGUGAAUCAUCGAAUCUUUGAACGCACAUUGCGCCCGCCAGUAUUCUGGCGGGCAUGCCUGUUCGAGCGUCAUUACAACCCUCAGGCCCCCGGGCCUGGCGUUGGGGAUCGGCGGAAGCCCCCUGCGGGCACAACGCCGUCCCCCAAAUACAGUGGCGGUCCCGCCGCAGCUUCCAUUGCGUAGUAGCUAACACCUCGCAACUGGAGAGCGGCGCGGCCACGCCGUAAAACACCCAACUUCUGAAUGUUGACCUCGAAUCAGGUAGGAAUACCCGCUGAACUUAAGCACAUCAAUAAGCGGAGGA